GUCCCGACUGGGCUCCACUACUGAUCAACUGAAAACGGAACAACACAAAGAACACGAUCUUCAUCGAGCUCCUCCUCAGCUUGGUUGCGUCACCUGCUCGGUAACAUCGGCACCUGCAAACUGGUUUUGGAAGUAUCUGUGAGUCACGGGGACUCAGCAAUCUCGCACCCUCGCGAUCAAGACUAUUUAAGCUUAUGGGUAAGGUAAAGGUAUGAGGUGGAGCUACAGCAAGCGACUAGCAUAUAUGGUGGCUAACAUAUUCGCAAAAGAGAGCGAGAAGAGAAGGCAAAGCUCUCACGGUCAACGAAGGAUAUUCCUUCUAGCGGGAAGACCCGAUCAGACUCGGAAUCCCGGUUACAAGACAUUUUGACAAGGUAAAACUAAACCAGCAACACCGCCCGAAUGUGCCGACAAAUCAGGUAGGAGCUGCACAUAUCUCUUUCUCAGGGCACACUCAGAUUGUCUUAGGUACGGGUAGGCCAGCCCAGAGUUGCCUCUGGUGGCCACCGGCAGCUGACAGGUGGACCAACACUCAGUGGAGCACCGACCCGGGGGGUUAAAAUAAUGAUGGCCCUUGAGUCUGCAGAACCCAAGGGAAAGAAAAGGCUAGGUGGCAAAUGGUAAAACCAAUGUUGGGCAUUGCUGGAAGAGUUUUACUCAAGGCGAACUGUCAAGGGGUUCCCAUUAUUACCCAACCGCGUAAGGAAUGCACAAUCCAGGAACAUAACACCGAUAUGACGGAAACUAGGGCGGCAAGAGUGGAACAAAACACCAGGCAUACGGCCGAGCCUUCCACCCUUUACCAAGUAUAUAGAUGCAUUAAUUAAAUAAGAUAAAUUGUGAUAUCCCAACAAGUAAAUAUGUUUCAACAAGGAACAACAUCUCCAUGUUCCAACAAGGAACAAACUUCAAUCUUCACCUGCAACUAACAACGCUAUAAGAGGGGCUGAGCAAAGCGGUAACAUAGCCAAACAACGGUUUGCUAGGACAAGGUGGGUUAGAGGCUUGGUUCACAAUAUGGGAGGCAUGAUAAGCAAGUGGUAGGUAUCGCAGCAUAGGCAUAGCAAAAGAGCGAGCAUCUAGCAAGCAAAGAUAGAAGUGAUUUCGAGGGUAUGGUCAUCUUGCCUGAAAUCCCGCAAGGAAGAAGAACGCGUCCAUGAAGAAGACAAACGGACGUAGUUGAACGAAUCCUCACAAACGCGACGUUACCGGAAUACCGAGAAGAAGCAACACCGGAAAGAAGCAAGCAACAUAGUAAACAACCAACACAUCAACAUGGCACGAUGCGCAAACAAGUAUGAUGCAUGUCCGGUUUAAUGAAGCAUGGCAUGACAAAGUGCACAAACAAUCCUACAAAUUAAGUGGAGCUCAUUAUGCAACUCCGUUGCAUAUUGACGAAACACCACAUUUGGUUAUUUAGUUCAAUCUCGUUUAUGUACUCAACAAUAUUAAAUGUUGUUAAACAUGGCAAGAGAGUGAAGCAAAUGAAAACUACCUAUCUAGGCAAGUUUAAAUGAUGCCAGAAGCAACGAACAACAAUUCCGGUAAAUCCCCAUAUGUAAAUAUUAGGUUUGGUACUGAUCUGUCCUAAACACAAUUUUAGAGUUAUUAAACAUGCAAAGUAAAGCCAUCAUGAUAAACUAGGCAUUUUUCCACCCCAAUUACAUAUAAAGUUCAUGAAAUUCCGAGUUACGGUUAUUUAGUUAUGAAAUAAAGCAUUUUAGCAUGGCAUAUGGACAAAAAAUACACAAACAACAUUUUAAACAUGGAUAAAAGUUGCAUAUUAUGAAACUAGACAAAAUGCUAGGCAUUUUACAUAUAUGAAAUGUUUUAUUUAGAUGCAAGGAAGAAGAACGCGUCCAUGAAGAAGACAAACGGACGUAGUUGAACGAAUCCUCACAAACGCGACGUUACCGGAAUACCGAGAAGAAGCAACACCAGAAAGAAGCAAACAACAUAUUAAACAACCAGCACAUCAACAUGGCACGAUGCGCAAACAAAUAUGAUGCAUGUCCGGUUUAAUGAAGCAUGGCAUGGCAAAGUGCACAAACAAUCCUACAAAUUAAGUGGAGCUCAUUAUGCAACUCCGUUGCAUAUUGACGAAACACCACAUUUGGUUAUUUAGUUCAAUCUCGUUUAUGUACUCAACAAUAUUAAAUGUUGUUAAACAUGGCAAGAGAGUGAAGCAAAUGAAAACUACCUAUCUAGGCAAGUUUAAAUGAGGCCGGAAGCAACAAACAACAAUUCCGGUAUAUCCCCAUAUGUAAAUAUUAGGUUUGGUACUGAUCUGUCCUAAACACAAUUUUAGAGUUAUUAAACAUGCAAAGUAAAGCCAUCAUGAUAAACUAGGCAUUUUUCCAUCCCAAUUACAUAUAAAGUUUAUGAAAUUCCGAGUUACGGUUAUUUAGUUAUGAAAUAAAGCAUUUUAGCAUGGCAUAUGGACAUAAAAUACACAAACAACAUUUUAAACAUGGAUAAAAGUUGCAUAUUAUGAAACUAGACAAAAUUCUAGGCAUUUUACAUAUAUGAAAUGUUUUAUUUAGAUGCAUGGAUAUUUGGUUAUUAGCAUCUUAAAGAAGUGGCAUUUCCUGUAAAAAAACACAUACGCGGCCGAGAAGCAAAACAGUAUUAAAUGUUGCAAAUAAAGGCCGGAAGCAACGAACAAUAUGUACCAAACAAUAUGUACUCAACGAACAAAACAGUAUUAAAUGAGUACCAAACAAUAUGUACUCAACAAUAUUAAAUGUUGUUAAACAUGGCAAGAGAGUGAAGCAAAUGAAAACUACCUAUCUAGGCAAGUUUAAAUGAGGCCGGAAGCAACGAACAACAAUUCCGGUAUAUCCCCAUAUGUAAAUAUUAGGUUUGGUACUGAUCUGUCCUAAACACAAUUUUAGAGUUAUUAAACAUGCAAAGUAAAGCCAUCAUGAUAAACUAGGCAUUUUUCCAUCCCAAUUACAUAUAAAGUUUAUGAAAUUCCGAGUUACGGUUAUUUAGUUAUGAAAUAAAGCAUUUUAGCAUGGCAUAUGGACAUAAAAUACACAAACAACAUUUUAAACAUGGAUAAAAGUUGCAUAUUAUGAAACUAGACAAAAUUCUAGGCAUUUUACAUAUAUGAAAUGUUUUAUUUAGAUGCAUGGAUAUUUGGUUAUUAGCAUCUUAAAGAAGUGGCAUUUCCUGUAAAAAAACACAUACGCGGCCGAGAAGCAAAACAGUGCAGCAACCCAAGUGGCUGUGGAAAGGGGUGUGUGUGGAUAGAGAGGAUGACGAGUGGGGUCCCACUGUCAUAGAGGGGACAAAGGCAAAAAUUGAGGGGGCUAAAUGGCCCUCAUGGGGUUCGAACCCUGGUGUCCCUGGUAGAAGUCUGUGGCCUGAUCCACCGCGCUACUGUUGUGUGUUUGGCUUAGAUGCAGAUAAACAUCAUAAGACCACCAAGAAGGGCGGACCUUGGCCCUCCAUGGUGGCACGGAGAUCGCCGGAGACGACGGCGAGCAAAGCAGCGACGGUUGAGGCUAGAGAGCGGCGGCGGGGGUGCGGAUCUUGGUGAGGUUGCGAUGCAUGCAGGGGCUCGCGUGAGGCCGGACUAGCUGGACAUGGCUACGGCCAUGGUUGCCGGCUGGUUCAGAGAAGAUGCGCGUGGGCGUGUGUGCAAGCGAGGAGCAGAGAAAACAAGGGAGCCUCCGGCGCAUGCGAGCGGGACGGCGAAGGAGCUCGUCGGAGGAAACUCCGGCGACCAAAAGCUACGGCUGAGGUGCGCAAAUGAACCGCAACGGGGACCCGAACUCCCGCAUGUCUCGCACAGCACCAAGUGACGAUGGAGGCGUCGCCGGCGUUGAGGAAACAGAGGCGGCGAGGCCAUACUUGAACUCGAAGAAACAAAGGUCGAAGUGGCGCGAAUCUAAGCUGGAUGAGCCCUACGCGACAAGCGGAACCUACUACGUCAGGCUCGAGACGGAAAGAGGCCGGACUCCUCGCCGGUGAUGAGGUCCGACGGAGUCGAGCUCGGGAAUCACAUGGAACACGCGUAACAGGAUGCAAUCGAGGGGAAACAAUGACUGGGAAGGUGCGCAUGCUCACCACGAACACGCUUAGGUGCUCGGCUGGGCGAGAGAUGGACGGAGGGAUGACAGGGCUCGCUGAACUUGGCGCUACUCUGGACCAUGAAGAAGAUGAAGCGGAGGAAGAUGACGUCGUGGAGGCCUGGAGGGAGUCGUUCGCGUUGGCCUUGGGUUCUUCCAGCUCCUGGCCUUGAUUGAAGACGAAGAAGACGACGUAGGCGAGCCGACCAGGAGCGAAGACAAUGGCGAAGGAGGGCUAUGGCCGCGGCGGAGCCAUGGAACUGCUCCGGGAGCUCUCUGGUGGAAGAGGCGACGGCUAUGUUGGGUGGCUCACCUGCGGCGGCGGCGGAGGGAGGAGAG
rnacentral:lncRNA from 1 species